CAAGUCGAACGCGAAAGGGGGCAACCCCCGGUAGCGUGGCAGACGGGUGAGUAACACGUGGGUAACCUGCCCGGAGGUGGGGGAUAACCCUUCGAAAGGAGGGCUAAUACCGCAUAACAUCACGGGGACCUCGGUCCUUGUGAUCAAAGCUGGCCUCUAUUUAUAAGCUAGCGCCACCGGAGGGACCCGCGCCCCAUUAGCUAGUUGGUGAGGUAACGGCUCACCAAGGCGACGAUGGGUAGCCGGCCUGAGAGGGCGACCGGCCACACUGGAACUGGGACACGGUCCAGACUCCUACGGGAGGCAGCAGUGAGGAAUAUUGCGCAAUGGGCGAAAGCCUGACGCAGCGACGCCGCGUGGAGGAUGAAGGUCUUCGGAUUGUAAACUCCUGUCGAGAGGGACGAAUGCCGUGAGGGUGAACAAUCCUCAUGGUUGACGGUACCUCUGGAGGAAGCCCCGGCUAACUCCGUGCCAGCAGCCGCGGUAAUACGGAGGGGGCCAGCGUUGUUCGGAAUCAUUGGGCGUAAAGGGCGCGUAGGCGGCCGACCAAGUCGGAGGUGAAAUCCCUCGGCUCAACUGAGGAACUGCCUCCGAUACUAUUCGGCUUGAGUCCCGGAGAGGGUAGUGGAAUUCCCGGUGUAGCGGUGAAAUGCGUAGAGACCGGGAAGAACACCAGUGGCGAAGGCGGCUACCUGGACGGGUACUGACGCUGAAGCGCGAAAGCUAGGGGAGCAAACAGGAUUAGAUACCCUGGUAGUCCUAGCUGUAAACGAUGGGCACUUGGUGUUGCGGGGUAUCGACCCCUGCAGUGCCGAAGCUAACGCAUUAAGUGCCC
rnacentral:rRNA from 1 species